AAGAAGGGUUUCGGCUCGUAAAGCUCUGUUGUUGGAGAAGAACGUGCGUGAGAGUAACUGUUCACGCAGUGACGGUAUCCAACCAGAAAGUCACGGCUAACUACGUGCCAGCAGCCGCGGUAAUACGUAGGUGGCAAGCGUUAUCCGGAUUUAUUGGGCGUAAAGCGAGCGCAGGCGGUUGCUUAGGUCUGAUGUGAAAGCCUUCGGCUUAACCGAAGAAGUGCAUCGGAAACCGGGCGACUUGAGUGCAGAAGAGGACAGUGGAACUCCAUGUGUAGCGGUGGAAUGCGUAGAUAUAUGGAAGAACACCAGUGGCGAAGGCGGCUGUCUGGUCUGCAACUGACGCUGAGGCUCGAAAGCAUGGGUAGCGAACAGGAUUAGAUACCCUGGUAGUCCAUGCCGUAA
rnacentral:rRNA from 1 species